GACUUCUGUCGCUAGCGCGAUUUUUUUCUGUAGAAAAAAAAUAAUCAGCAG
rnacentral:tRNA from 1 species